AAUUUUAUGUUUUUAUAUAAGACCAUUUCUGCCCAAUGAUAAUUUUAAUGGCCGCAGUGCCUUGACUGUGCUAAGGUAGCAUAAUAAAUUGGCUUUUAAAUGAGGUCUAGAAUGAAAGAAUAUUUGAAGUAAAAAUUGUCUUUAUUUUGUUUUAUUGAAUUUUUUUAUUUAGGUGAAAAGACCUAAUAUAACUAAGAAAGACGAGAAGACCCUUAGAAUUUUUAAAAUAAAUGUUUACUGUUUUUUUUUGUUGGGGUGACAUAUUAACAUUUUUAACUUUUUGUUAAGACUAGAAGGAAAUUCAAGAAAGAAAAAAUUACCUUAGGGAUAACAGCAUAAUUUUUUUUUAAAAUUAUGACCUCGAUGUUGGACUAGGAACCUAAUAAUUAGUAAUUAAAUUGGUUAGUUCUGUUCGAACUAUUUCUCCU
rnacentral:rRNA from 1 species